CAGGAGGUCCCUGGUCGGAGAGCUAGGCCCUCUCUACUGGCAAAGCCAGUGGCAAAUGGUCUAAAUGGCCGACCAAAGUUCAAGGGCGGUACAGCUGUGGCAAACUAUUCCAAGCUAUUGACUGAGAAGUCUUGUCCCACAGGGCUGACCUCCCAUCGAACCCAGCCAGGCGAGGAAUCGAGCAACUGUAAGAUGGGUUGUUCAGUGCUUGUGGCAAACAGGAUGGAGAAGAUAGCUUGGGUGUAAAUAGUUUGCUAGGCUGUAUCCACCAAGAACGACCUCCUG
rnacentral:SRP_RNA from 1 species